AUCGCUCUCAUGAUCCGUGUCCGGAUCAACACCACCCUCACGACAAAGACCCGCCGGCUGCGCCACAGCAGCCCGGCCUGCUUGCCGAACCCCCCAACACGUGUGCUGCGCC
rnacentral:misc_RNA from 1 species